CACCCCUCUUUGAAUCUCGCGGGCGCCAUGAUGACACUCACUGCCAUUCUGCUGCAAUUUUCCGGAGGAGACUUUCACUGUCAGUGUAUUCAAGUUUCACACUGUGCCCUUCAUAUGGGACCAUACAGACAAAGUGUUUCUGUUUGCUGUGGAAACGAGAAAUUGGAAAGAUGAAUAUCAGAAUGUCAGAAGAAACUUGAAAAAAAUGCCCUAACAAACAAAAUAACAAGAAGAGAGGCAGAAAAGGCUGUGUCAAAGUGGCUAAUUGGUGCCGGGAAAUAGGAGGGAAUCGCACUGCAAGGGCACAUGUUGGAGAACAAAUGGGGGCCGUUGGGACAGCGACAACAUAGGAGUGAGGAGCUGCAGUAAUGUUGUCUUGUUUGUAAAAACCUUUAUUUUAGAUUUUUCUGAUAUGCAUAUAUAAAAACAAGUUUUUCCAAAUAAAGUUUUACAAGAGUGAAUUAAAGCGUUAGUCCAUCAAAAAAUGAAAAAUCUGUAAGUAAUUACUUUUCCUCAUGUCUUUCCACACAAGGCAAAACCUUGGAAUGACAUGAGGGUAACUAAUUAAUGAGAGAAAUUUAAAUUUUGGAUAAACAUAACCCUGUAAAUGUAAUUUUUUUUCCUUUCUUUAGUUGUGUUUUAUAAAGUUUUAAAUGUACAAGUCCUAAUAGUCAUGUUCAAAUUAUUAAUAAACUGCAUAAUGAAGUAAAUCAUGAA